rnacentral:rRNA from 1 species
CCUACGGGAGGCAGCAGUGAGGAAUAUUGGUCAAUGGGCGCGAGCCUGAACCAGCCAAGUCGCGUGAGGGAAGACGGUCCUAUGGAUUGUAAACCUCUUUUGUCGGGGAGCAAAAGACGCCACGCGUGGCGUUCCGAGAGUACCCGAAGAAAAAGCAUCGGCUAACUCCGUGCCAGCAGCCGCGGUAAUACGGAGGAUGCGAGCGUUAUCCGGAUUUAUUGGGUUAAAGGGGUGCGCAGGCGGGAGAUCAAGUCAGCGGUAAAAUUGGGAGGCUCAACCUCUUCGAGCCGUUGAAACUGGUUUUCUGGAGUGAGUGAGAAGUAUGCGGAAUGCGUGGUGUAGCGGUGAAAUGCAUAGAUAUCACGCAGAACUCCGAUUGCGAAGGCAGCAUACCGGCGCUCAACUGACGCUCAGGCACGAAAGUGUGGGUAUCGAACAGGAUUAGAUACCCGAGUAGUC